GGAAAACAAACCCUGCUAUGCCACAAUGCCAGCCCCCAAGCCAUCUUUCAGCACACUCCUAAUUACAUAACUCUAGACUAACCAGUUUUUCUGUCCCUUGAUCUCUCCAAGCUUGUUGGAUCGCGUGUUCCUUUUGCCUGGAAUGUUCUUUUGCCCAGAGUCAUUCCACGUGGCCAUUCAGUUCUCAGCUUCACGCGCAGCUCCUUGGAGAGCCCUUCCCUACUCACUUAGCAGAAUGGCUCUUCAUGAGGAUGGCAGCACUCUCUAGGAGGUAGAGAGUGUCAUAGAAGGAGGGUAUCGCCAGCUUAGUGACAGAGUAGGAGUGGAGGCCAGGGAUGUUAGACAUGAAGCAGUAUGCAGUAGGAGACUCUCCGUGAAUCCUAGUGAAGGGUGGUCCUACGCACUGCACACCACUCAAUGUCCCUCUGGGCAGCUUAUGUAGCAAAAGAUCUGUUCUAAGAAUCUACUCUGUGGAGCUAUAGAAAUCCAGGGGCUAAGUGUUUUCUUUUCUUUUUUCUUUUUGGCCUAAUUUUAAUAUCUACUGAAAUUCUUGGAGUUACAAUUACCACAUACACUGAUAAAGAUAAAGCUUUGCUUUGUUUGGAACAUUAUUCAGAUUCAUUCCUGUUUAGGCAAACCACGUCACCAAGGGCACUGCCGCUUGUGGUAUUUGAGUCACUUGUGACACUCCUAUAAUCAGUGGACACUUGAAGCUAUUAUGUUCAUGGCUGAUGGAGCAAGAUAUCGAUUACAUACACAUUCACUCAUUUUCAGUUGUGCAGCUCUCAGACACAACUGUAAGUACAGUACAGUUACAGUAGAGAGGGUUUAUCUACAUGAUAAUCGGGGGUCUCUUUCACCUAUUGUUAAUUUGGAACCACUAUAUAGGACUGUGCACGUCACGGACGGCCCGCUGAAGGAUCCAGUGAGGUGAGUUCCAGCCCUCCGUUCACUUGCCUAAGCUCAUGCUCUAUCAUGGGCUUCUUCUGCCUGGAGAAGUGUCUUAACUGACACAAAAAUACUACCAUCUCACCAACCCUGGGGACUGUUUCCCCGGUGGAGACACUCUUUUAUUAGCAUGAAAUAUUUGCAUGAGCUAGCAAAGCCCUGCCUUAGUUCCUCUGAUAGCUUCCUCCUGGUCACCUUGGGGGUUCUGUGAUGGUAUCUCUAGGUACAGCCACAGCCGAAGUUGCAACUAUGCCACCAGCACAGGCUAAAAGAGAGAUGGCAUAGUGCAAUGCUUCCUUCACGGACAGUAGAGCCAGGCCAUCCGGGUCUAAAUUCCAGCUCUGCUACUUAUCAGCUAUGUGAACUUGGACAGGUGAUUUAACCUUCCUGUAUCUUAAUUUUCCCACUUGAGAAAUAGAAAUGAUAAGCAAGAAACUCUUGGGCCCAACGCUGUGGUGCAGCAGGUUAAUCUGCUGCUUGCGAUGCCAGCAUGCCGUAUUGGAGCACUGGUUAUGGUCCUGGCUGCUCUGCUUCUGAUCCAGCUUCCUGCUAACGAGCCAGGGAAGGCAGCAAAUGGACAUAAAAAUGCAACCUCAGAUUCGAGUUUGCUGUUGGUGGGUACAUCCAGACACUGGUGAGCAAUUCCAUCUACCCUGAUUCCCACCCCAACAAAGAGAAGAAACAAAUCCAGGCUAUGCUUUUCAAAUAAUUCCUAUGAAGAAAGCUCAAGUAUUUUUAAACCAACACUUGGGCCAAAAAGCAUAUGUUCCUCAACUAACACCUUUUAUCAAUAUUUGGCCUAAUUCCUUUAUAACAAAGGAAAAAAAUUUCUUGUAAAAUAAUAUGAUACCUUAAUGGUUGGACCCUGGUUAAAUUCUACUAUAAAAGAUGGCUAGAUACAGUGUGCAUUCUUGGAAUAAAUAAUGCUUGAAAUAUUUAAAUUUCUCUCUGGGCCAUGGGAUUUGUGUUAAAAACAGUUGUGAUUUUUAUUGUUGUAUGUGUGUUUUAACAAACUGGUACAUUUGCUAUAACUGCAUGUCACUGCCCACCCAGAUUGUAAAGGAUUAGGUUCCUAACGCAGGGAAAAAUCACUGUCUGUGAUUUGGAAAGAGUACUAGAAAGCCAACAGACUAAAGGGGACAAUAUGUCUUCCAUCACAAGGAAGACAUACUUGGAGCUUUUGGUAAAUCCAAGGCGGGAUGUCAGUGGCCUUAACACAACUGUAAAAUGUACAUAAUCCAUGGGUGCAGUAGCAAUGGGCACUAGGAAAGCUACGAUGGCAUCAGAACAAAUUCAUCAAAGAUGUUUCUAGGCUUCUGUGACCUCGACCUUCUUCUGUGACCACUCUCAGCCACAAAGAAGGUUUUCAAUGAUGUUCUUCUUUAGCCAUAGACUCUCAUUCAUGUGCACUAUAAUAGGACUAUCACACAACAUGCUGUUAUGGAGCUAAAGUAGCACGGUAAACAUCAUGAAAAGUCACUCUUGUAUAUGCUGAUGAUCUAAUUUCCCGGUUUUUGGCACCAAAGGCCCGAUUCCCAACUCUGCCUACCUCUUUGCACCAGGUGUCCUGAACAAAUAUUCCAGCUCUGGGAACCAUGGAGCAGCUGUGAACAGGUUCUUCUGCAGUUCCGAGCUGCAUCCUCUGGGUGUCACGAGUGAGCAGCGUUCGUUAAGAUUUGCUCUGACUGGGGCUCCGGCGAUGAGUUCAGUCUGCAUGGGCAAGCUCCGGGAUCGCUUCUUUAGAGCACUUUGACGGUCUGGAAUGAAAUAUUUUGAGAAAUAAGUACUUCUGAACAUCGCGGGUAAAAUACCUGUCCCAUUUUUCUGCUGUCUCUCUGCUAUGGCCUGGGAAAGCAGAAGAUGGCCCAAGUCCUUGGGUCCUUGCACCCACGCGGGAGACCCCGAAGAAGCUCCUGGCUCCUGGCUUCAGAUGGGCGCAGCUUCGGCUGUUGCGGCCAAUUGAGGAGUGAACCAGCAGAUGAAGACCUUUCUCUCUCUCU